AUCGUUUUCCUGCUUCAUAGGCAUGAUGAUCAGGUUUUCACAGGCCUGAGUGAGAUGUGCCUUCCUUCAACUUUGUUACAACGUCGGCACAUGACCCUUCUGACA